CUUGGUCAUUUAGAGGAAGUAAAAGUCGUAACAAGGUUUCCGUUGGUGAACCAGCGGAAGGAUCAUUACAGAGAUCAUGCCCUCGCGGGUAGACCUCCCACCCUGUGUUACUGAUAUUUGUUGCUUUGGCAGGUCGCCUUCAGGCACUCGGCUCUUGCUGAGGAGCACCUGCCAGAGGACCCCUAACUCUGUGUUUAAUGUCGUCUGAGUAUAAUUUAAUACGCUAAAACUUUCAACAACGGAUCUCUUGGUUCUGGCAUCGAUGAAGAACGCAGCGAAAUGCGAUAAGUAAUGUGAAUUGCAGAAUUCAGUGAAUCAUCGAAUCUUUGAACGCACAUUGCGCCCCUUGGUAUUUUGGGGGGCAUGCCUGUUCGAGCGUCAUUUCAACCCUCAAGCUAUGCUUGGUCUUGGGCAUUGCCGGGAACGGCUUGUCUUAAAAUCAGUGGCGGUGCCAUUUGAGCUCUACGCGUAGUAAUGAAACCCUCGCGAUUGAGUCUUGGUGGAUGCUUGCCAACAACUUUCUUUUGUUGACCUCGGAUCAGGUAGGGAUACCCGCUGAACUUAAGCAUAUCAAUAAGCGGAGGA
rnacentral:rRNA from 1 species